AUACGUAGGGGGCGAGCGUUGUCCGGAAUGAUUGGGCGUAAAGGGCGCGUAGGCGGCCCGGUAAGUCUGGAGUGAAAGUCCUGUUUUUAAGAUGGGAAUUGCUUUGGAUACUGUCGGGCUUGAGUGCAGGAGAGGUACGUGGAAUUCCCAGUGUAGCGGUGAAAUGCGUAGAGAUUGGGAGGAACACCAGUGGCGAAGGCGACUUACUGGACUGUAACUGACGCUGAGGCGCGAAAGUGUGGGGAGCAAACAGGAUUAGAUACCCUGGUAGUCCACACUGUAAACGAUGAAUGCUAGGUGUAGGGGGUAUCGACCCCUUCUGUGCCGCAGUCAACACAAUAAGCAUUCCGCCUGGGGAGUACGGCCGCAAGGUUGAAACUCAAAGGAAUUGACGGGG
rnacentral:rRNA from 1 species